CCAGUUCCGCUUCCAGCGGCUGCUGGGCCCCGAGGGGACGCGGCAGCUCUGCGAGGCGCUGCCCCCGGCCCUGCGGGAGCUGCUGGGACUGGGACAGACCAGGAGCCAAACUGGGACGGACUGGGAGGAACUGGGAGCAACUGGGGAGGCCCAACCCCCCUCGGAGCCACCCCCGGGCACCGCCUGAGCCAAACUGGGAUGAACUGGGAACCAAACUGGGGCAACUGGGAGGGACUGGGACAAACUGGGAUGAACUGGGAGCAAUGGGAAGCCAAACUGGGAUGAACUGGGAUGAACUGGGAUGAACUGGGAACCAAACUAGGGCAACUGGGAGGGACUGGGACGAACUGGGAGCAACUGGGAGCCAAACUGGGACAAACUGGGAUGAACUGGGAACCCAAACUGGGAGGGACUGGGAGCCCAAACUGGGAGCACUGGGAGCCCAAACUGGGAUGAACUGGGAUGAACUGGGAGCCCAAACUGGUUUUUGUCUCUCUGGUCAUUAAAGCUUUGGAACCCCGGG